rnacentral:lncRNA from 1 species
CCUAGUGUACUAAUCUUUUCUUGAAAGGGGAGGGGGGGGGGUGUCCUCUCUUCACUCAGCAUUGGACAGCAGCUGAGCUGAGUGCUCCUCCUCGCCUCAAUCAUCCUUAAAACCUGCUGGAAACACACCGACACGCACUCAUUUACCUGCUGCUGAUAACCGGGACAAGAUGUUCUGCAGACGGGCAUUGCAGAGAGUCGGGCCGCUGGCACGGAGGGCUUUCAAACCCACAUCCAAUAAUGCAGCUCCAGUGCGACACAUGGCCUUUGGGGUCCCUGGUGGCUCCAGCAACAUGGCGUACUUUGUCCUGUGUGGAGGCGGCCUCACUGCUGCUGUCGUCUAUGCCUACAAGACAGUCAAUGGUGACGGUGUGGACAAACUCGCAAACAUGGACUCCACAGCAAAGGCUCCUUCGGCCGAGGUAGUGCCAGAAGUGGUGGCUCCUGCAGCUGAACUCGCCGAGGUAGUCGCCGCGGAGGUUGUUGCCGAGGUCGUGGCGGAGUCUGUCCCUGCUCCAGCAGUAGCGGAGCUCGCUGCCGAACCGGUCGCUGAGGCAGUGUCUGAAGAAGCGCCCGCCGCCGUGGCCUCUGAGGUGGUCGUCGUUGAGGCUGCAGCUGAGCCAGCAGUCACAGAAGAAGCCGCUGUAGUGGCAGACGCUGUCACAGAAGAAGCCGCUGUAGUGGCAGAGGCUGUCCCUGAAGUUGCGGCCGCAGAGGAGACAGCCGAAGCUGUGGAGACACACAGUGAAGCAGCAGUAGUUAUGGACACGACUCAGCUGGCAGCAGCCUCCUCUGGGUCGGACCUGGAGGUCCUUACAGCUGCUGAACCAGAGUCUACAUCCGAGGCUCCAGUACAUGAGGCCAAGCUCUGCCACUCUGCCCCAUCACAAGCAGAGGAGGUGGCGCCGCCUGCUGAUUCGGGAGGGCAGCUGGCCAGUGAGGAAGCUGUGGAUCUAACACAUGACGUCAAGGAGGAAGUGUCCCUGGUGGAAGGACAAAGUAAGAACAUACUGUAUGAAGUGCCAGUCACAAGCUUUUGAAAAUCCAUACCUACAUUAGUAUUGUUUAUAAUGCUGCAUA